UCUGCGUUUAUGAAUUUGUGUACUCUCUGAAAUGGAUCCAGAGCCUCAAAUCAACACCGGUCUGGGCCGCUGGCUGAUGAGCGCAUGCGGACAGCACCCCAGCACUCUCCAGUUGGCAGAAAUCUCGAAGCCUGACGCUGUCCCUCCAGGAGCAGUGGCUCUCUGUCCACUGACUGGCCCCGUGCCUGCUGACUCCGCUGGACUGAACUGCAGCCAAUACUGUAACCAGGACUGACAGUGGGACAGCUGUAAAAUGUGAGUCAUAAAAGCACAGAAUGUUGCUGGGGACAUGGAACCUUAAAAGAGCAGAAAGUCGCU